CGGUGGGGUUAGGAGGAGAUACUCUAUAUUAGAGGUGGUAAAGGAGAUCUCACAGUGGGGUUAGGAGGAGAUACUGUAUAUUAGAGGAGGUAAAGGAGAUCUCACGGUGGGGUUAGGAGGAGAUACUCUAUAUUAGAGGAGGUAAAGGAGAUCUCACGGUGCGGUUAGGAGGAGAUACUCUAUGUUAGAGAAGGUAAAGGAGAUCUCACGGUGGGGUUAGGAGGAGAUACUGUAUGUUAGAGAAGGUAAAGGAGAUCUCACGGUGGGGUUAGGAGGAGAUACUCUAUAUUAGAGGAGGUAAAGGAGAUCUCACGGUGGGGUUAGGAGGAGAUACUCUAUAUUAGAGGAGGUAAAGGAGAUCUCACGGUGGGGUUAGGAAGAGAUACUCUAUAUUAGAGGAGGUAAAGGAGAUCUCACGGUGCGGUUAGGAGGAGAUACUCUAUAUUAGAGGAGGUAAAGGAGAUCUCACGGUGGGGUUAGGAGGGGGAUACUCUAUAUUAGAGGAGGUAAAGGAGAUCUCACGGUGGGGUUAGGAGGGGGAUACUCUAUAUAAGAGGAGGUAAAGGAGAUCUCACGGUGCGGUUAGGAGGAGAUACUCUAUGUUAGAGAAGGUAAAGGAGAUCACACGGUGCGGUUAGGACGGGGAUAUGCUAUGUUAGAGGAGGUAAAGGAGAUCACACGGUGGGGUUAGGAGGAGAUACUCUAUAUUAGAGGAGGUAAAGGAGAUCUCACGGUGGGGUUAGGAGGAGAUACUCUAUAUUAGAGGAGGUAAAGGAGAUCUCACGGUGGGGUUAGGAGGGGGAUACUCUAUAUAAGAGGAGGUAAAGGAGAUCUCACAGUGAGGUUAGGAGGAGAUACUUGUUACAAAAGACUGGAAAUCACUAUGUUGCUGUUUUAACUCACCGAGUGAUACUGUUUGCCACUGCAUAAGUUAAGCAGAAAACCACACGAAUGGAUUAUGCGAACCCUUAUCAAGGCUCCAUUCGUGGUACGAACGGGGGGACCCCCACAAACUGGCGUGUGCCGCCACUUAACCCCGUCACCCCACAAACUACCGAACGGUCGACCACCCGGCCCGGAGUGUGGCAGCCAUUAACCACCCAGGUGCCUGCGGUUUGCGGUUAACCACAACGUAAUUGGUAGGCCUGGGGGCAUCGACGUUCGCACCCAAAGUACCGAAGGGAAAAUACCGAACUAUCAACCGAACGACGACCCCCUACAGCGGGUCGUGUGACGCUCGUUAACUUGUGGUUUUUGCGGUUAACCGCAGGUCAAGUACCCUGCUCCCAGGUGGUCCUCAUUCCCUUACCGAACGAGCCCACUACCAGCCAGACAGCGGGACUUCACAUGAACUGAUACCGAGUUUAGUUCCACGAGUUAGACACGAAGUCCCGCUUCUCGCUAAAACAGCAGAAAACAUGGCCGCCAACAAAGACUAAUAAUCCCAAAAUGCCGAACGGACUUCAUACGGCAGAAACAGUACAUUCUGUUCGUGGGAUUAGAGCGCCAUUCGCAUGUUUUAUUUACACGAACCUGAGCCUUCAGAUGAAUGGUAGAAUGCGGGGUUUGUCUUUAUUAAUGUAAAAGUUAUGGAUUUUUAUGCAGUUUUCUGGGACGUAAUAAAACGUGGUCUUUGGUGCGCUUGGAGAUAAUUAGAUUGUAUAACCGUUGGCCUCAUUAUCUCCAAGCUGGGCGGGUACUAAUUCAAAGGAUACACUGUAUUGUGAUUGGAUAUGUGUCUGUACUGUACCUGUAUUCCAUCAGGUCCACAGGAGGCUGUCCUUGGACCUGAGGAAUCACAUAAAUUGCCAUGCUAUGUGCCAGUAAAACCAGUUCGUUUUGACCCUCAACUUGCAGCCUCGACUUUGUAGGGAUCCGGGAUAUUGAUGCUUAUAUCGUGCUUGGGGAUAUUCUACAUUUGCAGUUUACUACCGACAGACCUCCGUUCGACUCUCUGCAGCGGGAACCAGGACAUCCAAGCGAUCAACCCUCCUGCUAGACCGGGGGCAAUCGUAACAAUUGGUGGCAGCGGUGGGAUCAUCCUGGGAUUCCUGAAAGAGAUAUAUAGGACGGAUGGAGAGUAACUACGAUAGGCUGAAGCGUACCACGUUAAAGGAUAUACUCGAGAGCCGUGGAGGGAACGCAAGUAACCGGCCGAGGAGAGAAUUGAUUGCCGACCUGAACGAGUUGGAUCAAAGCUUCACCAUGGCAGAACCGACGGCAGCAUGCAGCGAUGAGAAGACCAGGCUUGUCCGAGAAAGGCUGCCUCUGUACGGACCGAACCCAUCCGUGGAGCUGAUACAGCAACUAAUGGCAGAAGCCGAGGCGGACGUACAGCGGACUAGAGCCCACGAGCUGAGCAUGAAGACCGCUGAUAGCCACAGCGGCCCCCUAGAAACUACCGAACAGCCAAAGAUCCCGUUCGCGGCAUUCAAGCCGUUCGCGGAGAAUGAGAUGGGGAUAGACUAAUUUUUGGCCGAUUUUGAAAGACAAUGUGCCCUGCAUCAGAUCCCCGUCGCCGCGUGGCCACGUAUCCUGGCAGGAAAAUUAACCGGGCGGGCCAUGGAAGCCUUCCGAACCCUCAGCGCAGAAGAGGUAGCCCAAUACACCACAGUAAAAGAAACGCUGCUGAAACGGUACGCUGUGACCCCAGACACCUACCGAAGGCAGUUCCGCAGCACGAAGAAAAAAGCGAAUGACACACAUGCCGAAUGGGCACACCGUAUGCGGAGAGCUGCUACCCAUUGGAUUACCGGGGGUGUCGGGCCGUCACGGCCGCGGAAAUAUUGGAACUUUUCUUAUUAGAACAUUUUUAUGAGGGUCUGGAACAAAAAGACCGGGAGUGGUUGAAAGACCGGCGUCCCGCUAACCUACACGAAGCAGCCCGGUUGGCAGACGAACACCGGGAUGCGCAAGUACAGGAGUUCAACAAUGCCCGAACGGUAACUCGCCCCGAACCAAGAGAGGGAUACCGAUCAACUCCACGAACGGAGUUUCGCAACCCUGUACCCACAGGUCCUACAAGGUACCCGGGACCACCCAGCCACUAUCCUCAGGAACACUCCCGACCAACAUGUUAUAAGUGCAAGCAACCGGGGCACCUGAUAGCGAGUUGCCCCCUCAACAACAAUUACCCCACACGGAACUAUAAUUCCGCUCCAACGGGAAACAACCGUCCAGCUCGAGCGUUUUGCCUGGAACAAGACAGUCCUUUAGAAGAAUACCUGGGACCCCUACAUGAAGCUAAUCCUGUGUAUGCCGCCAGUGACAAUAGACAACACCACCGGCAAGAGGUGCUGCUAGAGGGUCGUCCUACACAAGGGUUAAGAGAUACCGGAGCCACGAUCACCUUGGUACAAAGCCGGUUAGUCCCUGACUACAAACGCUCUUCUGACACAGUGGCUGUCCGGGUGGCUGGAGGGGACAUAUAUAAACUACCCACAGCAAAGGUACACUUGGAUUGGGGUGCGGGAAAAGGACUUGUGAGGGUGGGAAUUAUGGAUAAUUUGCCAGCCGAAGUUUUGCUGGGAAAUGACCUGGGACCUAUGACUUCAGCUUAUGCCCCUUCCUACAACGCUGAGGCACAUCCGGUGACGACCCGGUCACAAGCUGGACGAGCACGAGACCCUUCACCAGUGCGGGAGACUCAGGUAAGACUUAACCCGACUGUGACCCCCCCUCCUACCCCGUUGCCCUGGGACACUCCUGCAGCCUUCGAGGCUGAGACCAAAACUGAUCCGACGCUCCAAAAAUAUAGAGAAAGGGCUGAUACAGGGACUGGGAUCAGACCAGGAGACGUUUGCAUGGGAACAGGGUCGACUGUACCGACACACAGAGAAGAAGGGCCACCGGAGGAGACAGUUAGUAAUACCCCACAAGUAUAGGCGAGAUAUCCUCCGGGUGGGUCAUGAUAUUCCCUUAGCCGGGCACUUGGCAGUAACCCGUACCCUGCACCGUAUUACCCAUACUUUGUUCUGGCCAGGAGUACAUGCAGAUGUGAGGUCCUAUUGUAAUACGUGCGAGGUGUGCCAACGGGUAGGCAAACGAGGAGACCACCCCAAGGCACACCUCGUUAACAUGCCCAUUAUCGACGAG
rnacentral:lncRNA from 1 species